CNCUGGCGGCAGGCCUACACAUGCAANUCGAACGGUAGCACAGAGAGCUUGCUCUCGGGUGACGAGUGGCGGACGGGUGAGUAAUGUCUGGGAAACUGCCUGAUGGAGGGGGAUAACUACUGGAAACGGUAGCUAAUACCGCAUAACGUCGCAAGACCAAAGUGGGGGACCUUCGGGCCUCAUGCCAUCAGAUGUGCCCAGAUGGGAUUAGCUUGUUGGUGAGGUAACGGCUCACCAAGGCGACGAUCCCUAGCUGGCCUGAGAGGAUGACCAGCCACACUGGAACUGAGACACGGUCCAGACUCCUACGGGAGGCAGCAGUGGGGAAUAUUGCACAAUGGGCGCAAGCCUGAUGCAGCCAUGCCGCGUGUAUGAAGAAGGCCUUCGGGUUGUAAAGUACUUUCAGCGAGGAGGAAGGGGGGAUGGUUAAUAACCAUUUUCUUUGACGUUACUCGCAGAAGAAGCACCGGCUAACUCCGUGCCAGCAGCCGCGGUAAUACGGAGGGUGCAAGCGUUAAUCGGAAUUACUGGGCGUAAAGCGCACGCAGGCGGUCUGUCAAGUCGGAUGUGAAAUCCCCGGGCUCAACCUGGGAACUGCAUUCGAAACUGGCAGGCUAGAGUCUUGUAGAG
rnacentral:rRNA from 1 species